GCUUAUCUAGCUCAGUUCGUAGAGCGUAAGGCUUUUAACCUUGAGGUUGUGGGUUCAAGCCCCACUGUGGGCA
rnacentral:tRNA from 1 species